GUGGGGCAGGAGAUCAGUUACUCAGCGUCUGUGAACUGGGUGAGUUGUAAUUGUUUUAAUCUUGCUUCUCUCACAGCCAGUGCUUGCUUGGCUGCUAGAGAAAAAUAAAACCCAUGUGGUAGUUAGAAUCUAGUUAAUUCUUUAAGAGUAGGGUACAAGACUUAACCCUCGCCUGGCAUGGCCCUAGGCCCUGUUUAUAAUUUGAGGUCUUAUUGCCACAAAGAGUCUGUUCUGUCAGUCUCAUGAUCUCUAUUUUAACAUUAAUGCUGCUCAGUUGUUGGGUCUAAACCAUAAGAGGGAGGGAGGUACAGGGAGGUAUGUCUGACCUCCUGUCCUGUCAUGGCCGAGAACUGAAUUUUAAGAUUUAUUUGAGGUUCCGUUGGCCAACAGGGGGUCUGUUAAGUCGGGUGGGGGGCUUAGGAUUUUAUUUUUUGUUCUCAAGGGAGAUAAAAUAAUUUAAUCCAUUGGCCUCUGUGACUGUGGGACUAACAUGGCUAUGAUCUGUCGGACAGACUUCAGGAAAAGGAAACAUUUUCUGCUUCUCUCGCUGAGGUUUUUUUUAACCACCCAUUAGGAACCUAUAGAUUUCAGGAUCGAACACUGGGAUUCCCUCAGCACUAAAGGAGGACAAUUGCAAACAGAGCUGAAAGUGCAAUGUGGAAAGGUCAGGCUGAGGAAGGUUCUUAGCCAGUAGACCAAGGGCAGGAAGGACACUGCCUCCUCAG
rnacentral:lncRNA from 1 species